rnacentral:rRNA from 1 species
UACGAAGGGUGCAAGCGUUACUCGGAAUUACUGGGCGUAAAGCGUGCGUAGGUGGUUUGUUAAGUCUGUUGUGAAAGCCCCGGGCUCAACCUGGGAAUGGCAAUGGAUACUGGCAAGCUAGAGUGCGGUAGAGGGUAGUGGAAUUCCCGGUGUAGCGGUGAAAUGCGUAGAGAUCGGGAGGAACACCAGUGGCGAAGGCGGGUCUCUGGACAGUUCCUGACACUGAGACACGAAGGCCAGGGGAGCAAACGGG